CAUAUCAAUAAGCGGAGGAAAAGAAACCAACAGGGAUUGCCCUAGUAACGGCGAGUGAAGCGGCAACAGCUCAAAUUUGAAAUCUGGCCCUCUCGGGGGCCCGAGUUGUAAUUUGCAGAGGGUGCUUUGGCGUCGGCUGUGGUCUAAGUUCCUUGGAACAGGACGUCGCAGAGGGUGAGAAUCCCGUAUGUGGCCGCCAGCCUUCGCCGUGUAAAGCCCCUUCGACGAGUCGAGUUGUUUGGGAAUGCAGCUCUAAAUGGGAGGUAAAUUUCUUCUAAAGCUAAAUAUCUGCCAGAGACCGAUAGCGCACAAGUAGAGUGAUCGAAAGAUGAAAAGCACUUUGGAAAGAGAGUCAAAAAGCACGUGAAAUUGUUGAAAGGGAAGCGCUUGCAGUUAGACAUGCCUUUAGUUGCUCAGCCGGGCUCUUUGGCCCGGUGCACUCUUCUAUCGGCAGGCCAGCAUCAGUCUGGGCGGUCGGAUAAAGGCCUAUUAAACGUGACUCCCCUCGGGGAGAGCUUAUAGGGUAGGCGCCAUGCGACCAGCCUGGACUGAGGUCCGCGCAUCUGCUAGGAUGCUGGCGUAAUAGCUGCAAGCGGCCCGUCUUGAAACACGGACCAAGGAGUCUAACAUCUAUGCGAGUGUUUGGGUGUCAAGCCCGGGCGCGUAAUGAAAGUGAACGGAGGUGGGAUCCCCCCGGGGUGCACCAUCGACCGAUCCUGAUGUCUUCGGAUGGAUUUGAGUAAGAGCAUAGCUGUUGGGACCCGAAAGAUGGUGAACUAUGCCUGAAUAGGGUGAAGCCAGAGGAAACUCUGGUGGAGGCUCGCAGCGGUUCUGACGUGCAAAUCGAUCGUCAAAUUUGGGCAUAGGGGCGAAAGACUAAUCGAACUAUCUAGUAGCUGGUUCCUGCCGAAGUUUCCCU
rnacentral:rRNA from 1 species